rnacentral:lncRNA from 1 species
CCUCCCCGGCAUCUCCCCGCCUUUCCAGAGAUGUUCCCAAUCUCUCCAUCCCUGCAAAAAAAAAUAAUAAUAGAUGUUGUAUUAUUUAUUGAUUUAUUUGCUAAUUUUUCCCUGGUGAGCUGCAGCGCAGAGGGGUGCCCAGGACCCAUGGGGGUGUCAGGGAUGGGGAGGGCAGGAACGGGGCUUGGAUACUGCAAGGAGCAGCUGUGGGAUGGUUCCUGUGGGCAUGUGUGUGGGGGUCCCUCGUGGUGCCGUGCGGCCAGAUCCAUGGCCAGGGGAUUGGGGUGGCGGAGCUGGCCCCUGUGCCAGCUGGAAGGUAGCCUUGAGUGCCCACGAGGUGGUCCUGGGUGCCCAUGAGGUGGUUUUGGGUGGCCGGAGAGGGCCUUAGAUGGUGAAGAGGUGGCCUCAGGUGUCCAGGAGAUGGUUUUGGGUGGCUGCAGGGUGGUCCUGGGUGGCUGGGAGGUCACCGUGGAUGUCCAGGAGGUGGCCUCCAGUGGUUUGGGGGCUCAGGAGAUGUUUUCUUGGGUGGCCAAGAGGGGGACCCCUCCCUGCGGGGCCUGCGCCCGUGCGGCCUCACUGCAGGGCCCCAACUGGGAACACAGGGACAGGUGUCCCUGGGGGGGGGGGGACACAUGGGGAGCAGGCAUCACCCAUGCCAUGCCUCACACCCUUCCUUCUCCUCUCCCUCCUCAGCGCCUCGCCGGAGCCUCCUCGCCGGGAUGAACGGGACGGCCAACCUCACCCCGGGCGGCCGAGGCCACUACGGCUCCGCCAUCCCGGUGCCACGCUCCGUGCCCCCUGGCAAGCUGCCCGCUGCGGCCCCCCCGGCCCGACACAGCAGCCCGGGGCCCCCCACCUCCCACCAAGCCUCGUCCCCGCGGCUGGCCUCCGGCCCCAAAAGCCUUAAACCUAAACCCAGAGCCGCCACCAGCCACGAGGUGGCUGGGGAGCCCAGCCCCGGCGUCCCCCCCCGUGGGGGGCAGAGACCCCUGGUGCCCCCCGGGAAGGGGCUGGAGGUGGGCAAGGGGGUGGCGGGCAGCCUGCGGGGACCCGGGGGUCGCCGUCCCUUGAGCUGCUCCGUGCGGGGGCUGGGGGGGACCCCUGAGAUGGAGGAUGCCCCCCCCAUCGGCUCGCAGAGCAGGGUGCCCGUUUUUGGGUCGGGGGCCAUCAGUUUCUCCUCGGCCCCCCCACACAGCCGGCCCGUGACGGCCACCGUGGCACCCUUCCAGUACCGGCUGCAGGGGGACAGGGAGGAGCAGGCCACGUCCCCGUGUGACACCGACCCCAAACCCGGAGCCUUGAGUGAGUCCAUGGGGGGGUUUCCUUGGGGGGUGUGUGUGGGGAGGUCCUGUGUGCCCCCUGCCCGGGGGCUGGCCUGGGACUUGUGGGGGGCGAUGCUGGGUGCCCCCCGCUCCCCUUCUGCUUGUGCGGGGGCUGGGGGGGCUUCUGGGGAAGGGGCGCAGGGAGGCUGGGAGGGGGACGGGGGGGACACACGGGGGCCAUCGUCUGCGUUAUUAAUGCCUUGUGCGGGGCCUCCGGGAGCAGCUGGCGGCGGCUGGGAGCGGGGCCGGAUGAGCUGCACGUGCAGACGUGGGGCCAGGGCUGUGCCGAGCACAGGAGCAUCCCAAAAACCGCCGCACGGAGAGAGCGAGGGGGGAGAGGGAGAAGGAUGGGGGGAGGAGGGAACCGUGCGGGGGCCAGGGGCUGGGGCUGCGGGGCCAGGCUGGUGGGCGCGGGGUGGGCACGGGGUGGGCACGGGGUGCCCGGUGGCUUCGUGGCAGCAAGGAGAGGGGCAAAAAUCACAAGCGAGGAGAGGAGCAGGGGAUGGGGGGACCCUUCCCCAGUCCCCCCCAGCUGCUGGAGCCGCGUCCAUCCCUGUGGGGCUGCCGUGGGGCAGGGGCUCUCCCCCCGCUUCCCCGUGCCACCGAGCAGCCGGGUGCCCCCAGGCUCGUCCCCGCCGCCCACCUCCCCCGUUUUUCGGUGUGGCCGUCCCCUCCCGAGGCCCUGCUGCCUCUUGGCUCGCUCUCCUCUUUCUAGUUUUCCACCCAGCUCCAGGAAUGACCCCAUUUCCGAGGAGGCGGCCGAGAGCCAGAGCGCAGCCGGGGAAGAAGGGAGGGGGGGUGGGGGGCCUGGCACCGGUGGCUCCCGGCGCUGCCAACCUCCCACCGGCACCGCGGGGCUGCCGGGCAGGGAUUUAACACCCGGAGCGUCCCCAGCUGCCGGUGACACCCCCGUGAGCGGAUUUGGGGACAAACCCACACCCUCCGUGCCGCGUGGUCGGCUCCAUGCUCACCACGGCGUUUGUCAAUGAAGCGUUUGGCACCGGGCACCGGCUGCGCUUUGGCUUUUUUUUGGCUUUUGGGGCGAGCAGGACACGAGCCCCUUUAUUUUUUUUUAUUUUUUAUUUUUUUUGGGGUGGGGGUGGCUGAGCCCAGA